rnacentral:rRNA from 1 species
AGUGAACGCUGGCGGUAGGCCUAACACAUGCAAGUCGAACGGCAGCACAGUAAGAGCUUGCUCUUACGGGUGGCGAGUGGCGGACGGGUGAGGAAUACAUCGGAAUCUACUUUUUCGUGGGGGAUAACGUAGGGAAACUUACGCUAAUACCGCAUACGACCUACGUGUGAAAGCAGGGGAUCUUCGGACCUUUCGCGAUUGAAUGAGCCGGUGUCGUAUUAGCUAGUUGGUGGGGUAAAGGCCCACCAAGGCGACGAUCCAUAGCCGGUCUGAGAGGGUGAUCGGCCACACUGGGACUGAGACACGGCCCAGACUCCUACGGGAGGCAGCAGUAGGGAAUCUUCCGCAAUGGACGAAAGUCUGACGGAGCAAUGCCGCGUGAGUGAAGAAGGUUUUCGGAUCGUAAAACUCUGUUGUAAGGGAAGAACAAGUACGUUAGUAACUGAACGUACCUUGACGGUACCUUACCAGAAAGCCACGGCUAACUACGU